rnacentral:rRNA from 1 species
AUUGAACGCUGGCGGCAUGCUUUACACAUGCAAGUCGAACGGUAACAGGGAGCUUGCUCCGCUGACGAGUGGCGAACGGGUGAGUAAUAUAUCGGAACGUACCCAAGAGUGGGGGAUAACGUAGCGAAAGUUACUCUAAUACCGCAUACGAUCUAUGGAUGAAAGCAGGGGACCUUCGGGCCUUGUGCUGCUGGAGCGACCGAGAUCGGAUUAGCUAGUUGGUGGGGUAAAGGCUCACCAAGGCGUCGAUCAGGAGCUGGUCUGAGAGGACGGCCGGCGACGCUGGAAGUUAGACACGGUGCAGACUCCGACAGGAGGCAGCCGUGGUGAAUUUUGGACAAUGGGCGCAAGACUGAUCCAGCAAUGCCGCGUUAGUGAAGAAAGCCUUCGGGUUGUAAAGCUCUUUUGUCAGGGAAGAAACGGCUGUGGCUCAUAUCCACGGCUAAUGACGGUACCUGAAGAAUAAGCACCGGCUAACUACGUGCCAGCCGCCGCUGUAA